GCUCUGCUGGUUUUAAUACUUCUCACUGUCUGCUGGUGUGUUAGAAGAAAGAGGAACUCUCACCAACCUUCAAGAAAUGAAAAUUUGGAUGAUUUGGAGUAUGACGACAUCACAGCUCAUGGAGGAGAGCAGGACCUGAACUACCAAAGACUCCACGUCUACAAGAAUGAAACAGAUUCUCUCUACUCCACGAUUCCUCCAUCUCAGCCCCGAAAACAACAUCAUAUCCACUACACUCCUGAGUAUGUCUGAAACAGUAAUUACACUGUAAAUGAGGGCUAUAUUGCUACAAAACUGUAGAUUAUUACAGACUGGGCUUUAUAAUAAUCUGAAUAAGAUCAAAGUGGAUUAUAGAGUUCAUUACUUUGUAUUUUGAAUAUAGAGGGCUGUGAGCUCCUUUCCAGAUUCACUGGAUCAAAUAAGGAAAAUGUUUUUGUUUUUGUCUUAUAUUUCACAUAGUCAGUCAUUUUUUUAUGAACUAGA